CCACAUUAUGUUGAAACAUUGGUUCCCGUACAAUCACCAAAGUUAAGCAAUGUUAAACUUUGUUAGUACCUAGAUGGGUGACUGCUUGGGAAGACCAGGUGCUGUAAG